UGGCAAUGCACCAUUGUCGCCUCGAGCGAUGUACUGCUGCUGCCAACAGAGGAGACUUUCGUCCCUCAUUUUUUAUGCCAAACAUAUUUUUCCUCUCUCUCUUCAUCGGAUUUCGCCACUUGGUGCGAAUCCAAAAAUUCCUAAUUUUUAUAAAUAGGUCUUCCCUUCCCAUUCUUUCCCACAUUUCAAUUCUUCCAUUUUUCAAGAAUUAGAGAGGGACAAAGAGAGAGAGAGAGAUUGAGUGAUCUAGAGAGAGAAUGAAGGAAAGAAAAGAAGAGAAAUGAAAGAGAACAUAUCAAGGUUUCAGUAAGAAGUUUAGUAUUUCUCUAGACGUCUUAAUGAGUA
rnacentral:lncRNA from 1 species